rnacentral:lncRNA from 1 species
UCUUUAGAAUCAAAUGGGUGGUGUCAAGAGCAGUAAGUAAUUGCAAGUUGUGAAAGAGGAUUAGGACAUUACAUUGGACAGGCUCACAUUUUGGCAGACAGUGAAAAUUGUUUAAGCUAAAUCUCUUAAGCUACUGGGUGUUUAAUUCUUUUUGUGAAUGAAAAUUGAGUUAUGUCUAUUGCAACCGGAAUUACAGAGAUAAUGUUUUUAUGCCAAUAUUUUUAUGUGUGUCAUAUAGCUUUUUAUUUUCUCUUUUUAGAGGGAUCUGCAAUUGGGAGAGCUGGUUGUUUUUGUUCAGAGGUGGGGCAUCUGAUUUAUUUUCAGACAAAUGAAGCUGUGAAUCAGAUUAAUCUGUGUUUUAAUUAUGAUAUAAUUACACAUUUUUGUAAAUUUUACCAUGUUUUUGUGUUACUGUUUUAUAGGUUGCAUGUUAACUGCAACAGACUACUAACACAGGUGUUGGAUGCCACAUCUGACACUGCUGUAAAGGUUGCAUGUUAACUGCAACAGACUACUAACACAGGUGUUGGAUGCCACAUCUGACACUGCUGUAAAGGUUGCAUGUUAACUGCAACAGACUACUAACACAGGUGUUGGAUGCCACAGCUAACACUGCUCUAAUGGUAAUAGACACUUAAUUUUUACACAGAAAGCUUAAAGUUUGGAAAGCUGAUGGUUGGUAUGUGUGUGUUUUCGCUUUUAUGUAUUAAAUGUUUUAAUACCUGUUUUAAAAUAUGAAUACAUCAGUAUUCCAUUUUUGUGUUUUUAUGUAUGCUGCAAUAGUCUUUAAUUUUAUCUUUUUUACACAGAAAGCUUGUUGCU